rnacentral:rRNA from 1 species
CACAUGACUCUCGGCAACGGAUAUCUCGGCUCUCGCAUCGAUGAAGAACGUAGCAAAAUGCGAUACCUGGUGUGAAUUGCAGAAUCCCGUGAACCAUCGAGUUUUUGAACGCAAGUUGCGCCCGAGGCCUCCUGGUUGAGGGCACGUCUGCCUGGGCGUCACGC